CAUCUUUAUAAAUCAGAAUGCUGGUAAAUUCAAGGACCUGAGGAAAGGGACUUUGGAGAUAUGCCUUGAGAACAAAGCUGAUUUGAAGACAGGAUGAUGUCAAGGGGAAAAACUUCGAGUGGUUCAUAUGUUCAAGAAGAGCUUCAAGCUGGUCACACUGAGCCUAAUUUUAGCCCAUGGAAUACCCUGAUUUUUGUAAUAAAGACAAAAAUCUGAUAAAAGGAGAUUGUUACAAGACCUUGGAACAAUUAAUUGGACUAUGGAAUUAAUGGGUGCUUUACAACCUGGACUUCCUUCUCCUACAGCUAUUCUUCUUGGCCAUUAAUUAAUAGUAAUAGAUUUAAAAGGUUUUUCUUCACUAUUCCUUUGCAUCCAGAAGAUUAUAAGAGAUUUGCAUUUAAUAUCUCUGCUGUGAAUUUCAAGGAACCUGUAAAAAUUUCAAGGACUUUCUCAGCUGGAAAGUUUUGCCUCAAGAAGUUUCUACUCAUCCCAUUUGGUUUCCUGAAUGUACCAUCAAACAUGGAGGACCUGAAGUCAAAGUUCAAAUGACUACAGGUUGGACCAAGGUGUUGAUCUCGACCCCACAGUGGGAAUGAGAGGCUGAGGAAGAACAGGAGCACUCCAUGCACUCAGAAAGCCAACCCGCCAACAUAGGGACAACUAAAGAAUCUGAUAUACAGGGCUGAGUGGAUGAUUGAACAACAGGCGGGUAAUAAGUCUCCAACCAGCCUCUACUGAGCUGCCAGGCUGCUUCUGCAAGAACAUUCUUCACGCCAACCUCAUUUGUGGCCAAUUGGAAGCAACAGAACUCUUCCAGAGCUUCCCUUCUUAGAAAAUCUUGAUAAAAUUGAUUUUGAACUAUUUUAUAAGUGGCCCAGGUGAUAUAAAAUCUGGGUAACAGCCAACAGCAUUCAUGACGAUGUGAAGUAUAACCACAAACCCUUUAUGUUCCAUGCUCACCAGAGGUGAAAAGUGAAAUAUUGUUUAGAGAUGUGCAUUUCUCACUGUUGAUAGUCUCAUAACUAGAGAUUUGACAUAAAAUAUAGACAUAUAUAUUGUGUUGUGAGCUUUUCAGGAAAUGGUAGGGUGCAGGGUGGCAGCAGUGUGCUUAUUAUUCACUUAAAACAUGAUGUCAGGUUACUAACUAUGUAGCCAAGUGAUGCUGGGUCUUGAGGGUGCAAAAGCACUGAAGACACAGUCAAAGUCCCCACACUGCCCUCCAUUAGUUCUGCUCACUUGGUUUCACGUCAGAUUUGCCCUUAGUGCCUAGAGAGGACAGACAGGAGGAACAACCAGCGAAGGUCAAGAUCAAGUCUUUGCGGUCCCGUUCUCCCUCCCUCAUUCCCUCAAUUUGUACCAUGUUGGAGCUAACUGUGAAAAGGUAGAGCGAGGUAAAAGAAAGCAGGGUAAACAGUCAUAUGUAAUCAUGAGUUGUGGCAUUUGUCUUUAGGGAGAAUGUGUGAAGGGUCAGCCAGCACAUAGGAAGUCACUGAGGUGGUGACACCUCACUCUUGAGAUUGGCAGAGAUAGAAAGAGGGAAGCACAUACCUGCCUGAAGGAAAAUGGCAUAGAAAUUCCAAGUCAAAGGCAAUAUCAAGAGAUGCUUUCCCUUCCAAAGGAGAAAACAUUAAUUUUCUUUCCCAUUUGCAACAGAAACUAAGUCUGAUAGAUGUGUUCCCAUAAAAACCCUUUCCCCAAACAGAAAAUCUCACUAUAAUUUUUUUUCUACUUUGAACAGCUUAAUUUUUGCAAGAGUAGAAAAUAAACUAUUUUUAUUUGCAUAUGUAUUCUUUCUCAUGCAAAUAAGAGUAUUUCUAUUUGAGAAUUGUUUCUUAUCUGGGAAGUUGGGGCUUUCUAAAAUAAGGCAGUUGGUUUGUGGAAUUCUGUAUAAUGAUAGCUUGAAGCCACUGCAAUGAGUUUAUUAGCCAAAUCUCCACUCACUGCUGGGUUAAUCUCCUCCAGUAAGACUUCAUUUUGUUCUUGCUUUGAUUUCUUGUGCUUUGGGAGUCUUAUCGAGGAAGUCUGAUCCUAAGUUAACAUGAUGAAGAUUUGGGCCUACUUUGUCUUCUAUUAGGUGCAGGGUCU